rnacentral:rRNA from 1 species
UACGUAGGGUGCAAGCGUUAAUCGGAAUACUGGGCGUAAAGCGUGCGCAGGCGGUGAUGUAAGACAGAUGUGAAAUCCCCGGGCUCAACCCUGGGAACUGCAUUUGUGACUGCAUCGCUGGAGUGCGGCAGAGGGGGAUGGAAUUCCGCGUGUAGCAGUGAAAUGCGUAGAUAUGCGGAGGAACACCGAUGGCGAAGGCAAUCCCCGUGGGCCUGCACUGACGCUCAUGCACGAAAGCGUGGGGAGCAACAGG